UGGGGAAUAUUGCACAAUGGGCGCAAGCCUGAUGCAGCCAUGCCGCGUGUAUGAAGAAGGCCUUCGGGUUGUAAAGUACUUUCAGUCGGGAGGAAGGUGUCAAGGUUAAUAACCUUGGCAAUUGACGUUACCGACAGAAGAAGCACCGGCUAACUCCGUGCCAGCAGCCGCGGUAAUACGGAGGGUGCAAGCGUUAAUCGGAAUUACUGGGCGUAAAGCGCACGCAGGCGGUUGAUUGAGUCAGAUGUGAAAUCCCCGGGCUUAACCCGGGAAUUGCAUCUGAUACUGGUCAGCUAGAGUCUUGUAGAGGGGGGUAGAAUUCCAUGUGUAGCGGUGAAAUGCGUAGAGAUGUGGAGGAAUACCGGUGGCAAAGGCGGCCCCCUGGACAAAGACUGACGCUCAGGUGCGAAAGCGUGGGGAGCAAACAGG
rnacentral:rRNA from 1 species